rnacentral:rRNA from 1 species
AGCAGCCGCGGUAAUUCCAGCUCCAAUAGCGUAUAUUAAAGUUGUUGCAGUUAAAAAGCUCGUAGUUGAAUUUCGGGGUCAGUAGAUUGGUCGUGCCACUGGUAUGUACUGGUCUCACUGGCUCCUCCUUCCUGAUGAACCGUAAUGCCAUUAAUUUGGUGUUGCGGGGAGACUGGACUGUUACUUUGAAAAAAUUAGAGUGUUUAAAGCAGGCUAACGCUUGAAUACAUUAGCAUGGAAUAAUGAAAUAGGACGUUCGAUCUUAUUUUGUUGGUUUCUAAGAUUGACGUAAUGAUUAAUAGGGAUAGUCGGGGGCAUUAGUAUUCAAUUGUCAGAGGUGAAAUUCUUGGAGUUAU